rnacentral:lncRNA from 1 species
GCCGCCGCCCCGGCCGGAGCCCGCCGCCACGGACCGCCUCAGCCCUCCGGGCCACGGGCCUCUCCGGGCGGGAGCCCAGGGUGGCGGCGCCUGCGGCCGAGCGCCGGGAGCAGGUAGUGUUGGUGCUUCUUUUCAGUGCCAGUCCAUCCAUCACGACCACAUUUGUCAUGAUGACAGUGACAAGAGUGAAGAUAGUCCAAGUCCUAAGAGACAGCGCCUCUCUCAUUCAGUCUUUGAUUAUACAUCAGCAUCACCAGCUCCCUCACCACCAAUGCGACCAUGGGAGAUGACAUCAAAUAGGCAGCCCCCUUCAGUUCGACCAAGCCAACAUCACUUCUCAGGGGAACGAUGCAACACACCUGCACGCAACAGAAGAAGUCCUCCUGUCAGGCGCCAGAGAGGAAGAAGGGAUCGUCUGUCUCGACAUAAUUCCAUUAGUCAAGAUGAAAACUAUCACCAUCUCCCUUACGCACAGCAGCAAGCAAUAGAGGAGCCUCGAGCCUUCCACCCUCCGAAUGUAUCUCCCCGUCUGCUACAUCCUGCUGCUCAUCCACCCCAGCAGAAUGCAGUCAUGGUUGACAUACAUGA